UCAUCCCAUUUCCAACUGGGUCUGCGCUAAGCCCGUUUUGGGCUCCCGGUUGAGCGCUAAACGCGCCCAGACAUGCAGUACGAAACGGGAAUUGGUUCGGUUCGGUUCGCCAAAUGGACGCCAAAGCUCUUGGCAAUUAUGUAAAGUGUCUGCGCAAGAAAUUUGCAAGCGAAAAUGAAUAAAAUCGUAGUACCAUAAAACGAAACUCAAAGCAAACAGCAACUGAAUAAAACAACAACAGAGAAGAACAACAAAAUAAAAGCAAGUGCAAGACAAGCAAAACAAAAAUCUCUCGAAAAGUGCUAACAAUUAAAACACAUUUAACAACAACAAAAAC